AGUGAACGCUGGCGGUAGGCCUAACACAUGCAAGUCGGACGGCAGCACAGUAAUAGCUUGCUCUUACGGGUGGCGAGUGGCGGACGGGUGAGGAAUACAUCGGAAUCUACUUUUUCGUGGGGGAUAACGUAGGGAAACUUACGCUAAUACCGCAUACGACCUACGGGUGAAAGCAGGGGAUCUUCGGACCUUGCGCGAUUGAAUGAGCCGAUGUCGGAUUAGCUAGUUGACGGGGUAAAGGCCCACCAAGGCGACGAUCCGUAGCUGGUCUGAGAGGAUGAUCAGCCACACUGGAACUGAGACACGGUCCAGACUCCUACGGGAGGCAGCAGUGGGGAAUAUUGGACAAUGGGCGCAAGCCUGAUCCAGCCAUACCGCGUGGGUGAAGAAGGCCUUCGGGUUGUAAAGCCCUUUUGUUGGGAAAGAAAAGCAGCAGGUUAAUACCCCGCUGUUCUGACGGUACCCAAAGAAUAAGCACCGGCUAACUUCGUG
rnacentral:rRNA from 1 species